CUGGGCGGGCCUCACUCGGCCGACUGCGGAAGUCUUCUGCAAACUUCCAUUGGUCUGACGGGCUGCAUCGGGUUCAUCACAAAUUCAUUUUCAGUUUUCACUUCCCCAGAUCGUCAGUCCGGAGGGUGGACUGGGUCCCGGCCCGCUCCGCGUCGGGGGUGGGCGCGGGAAUCAUCAAGAAUGCAGAUGGAUACACUGCAGCAUAGAAUCAUGCAGCACAGAAAGGGGCCAUUUGACCCAUUGUGUCUGUACAGGCUACUGUAAGAGCUACCCGGUUUGAAGAUCCUCCGAUCCUCAAAGCCAACUUACUGGGUGAAGGCAGCAAACCACAUGGUGCCCAUGACCCAUGCGACCAAACAGGAAGGCGGCCAAGCCAGCUGGAGGCAGCUUACGCGAGCCCCAGGUUUGGGGCCUGCGGAAAAUGGAGGGACCCAAGAGGCCUGCCCCAGGAAGGAGAACCGAUACAAAAUGCUUCCAGCCCCAUAAGACACCUGCCUGACGUGCCAUUGAGAGCAUUCUGUCGGGAUGUAUCACUACCUGGUAUGGCAACUGUACCAUUCAAGA